rnacentral:rRNA from 1 species
AUGCAAGUCGAGCGGAUGAGUGGAGCUUGCUCCAUGAUUCAGCGGCGGACGGGUGAGUAAUGCCUAGGAAUCUGCCUGGUAGUGGGGGACAACGUUUCGAAAGGAACGCUAAUACCGCAUACGUCCUACGGGAGAAAGCAGGGGACCUUCGGGCCUUGCGCUAUCAGAUGAGCCUAGGUCGGAUUAGCUAGUUGGUGAGGUAAUGGCUCACCAAGGCGACGAUCCGUAACUGGUCUGAGAGGAUGAUCAGUCACACUGGAACUGAGACACGGUCCAGACUCCUACGGGAGGCAGCAGUGGGGAAUAUUGGACAAUGGGCGAAAGCCUGAUCCAGCCAUGCCGCGUGUGUGAAGAAGGUCUUCGGAUUGUAAAGCACUUUAAGUUGGGAGGAAGGGCAUUAAUCUAAUACGUUAGUGUUUUGACGUUACCGACAGAAUAAGCACCGGCUAACUUCGUGCCAGCAGCCGCGGUAAUACGAAGGGUGCAAGCGUUAAUCGGAAUUACUGGGCGUAAAGCGCGCGUAGGUGGUUUGUUAAGUUGAAUGUGAAAGCCCCGGGCUCAACCUGGGAACUGCAUCCAAAAAUGGGCAGCUAGAGUAUGGCAAAGGGUGGU